AUUGAACGCUGGCGGCAGGCCUAACACAUGCAAGUCGAACGAGUGGCGGACGGGUGAGUAAUGCCUGGGAAACUUCCCGAUGGAGGGGGAUAACUACUGGAAACGGUAGCUAAUACCGCAUACCAUCAGAUGUGCCCAGAUGGGAUUAGCUGGUUGGUGGGGAAAUGGCUAACAAAGGCGAUGAUCCCUAGCUGGUCUGAGAGGCUGACCGGCCACAUGGGAAUGGAGACACGGUCCAGACUCCUACGGGAGGCGUCGGUGGGGAAUAUUGGACAAUGAGCACAGGCCUGAGGCAGCCAGGCCGCGUGGAUGAAGAAGGCCUUCGGGUUGUAAGGUACUUUCAGCGGGGAGGCGUUACCCGCAGAAAAAGCACCGGCUAACUCCGUGCCAGCAGCCGCGGUAAUUC
rnacentral:rRNA from 1 species